AGUGGUCUUAUUUUCGUUUGAUUGUUUGACGUCUUCGCCAUAUUUGGAUGGAUUCCUUAUCAUGAACUGGGGAAAUUUCGGCACAGCCGGAAUUGUGAGUUGUGGAGCACGGAAAAUGGAGGUUUCUUACAUUUUUGAACUGCGAUAAGUAACAAAUCAUUCCCAAUGGGCCAAAUCAGCUGAUUACAUUCCGUCACGGCUGACCGUUUCGCCGAUAUGUCAUCUCUUGCAUCUUGCUGUAUAAAUCUCGUCCCAUGCUCAUGAAGCACUUCAUGGUAAACGUAAGUUAAAAUGUGGGAUACGUGAUACAGAGGGUGAAGUUUCCUUGGCUACUUUCCGUAUUCUUGGACAAUGAGUUGUCGUUCGCCUGUUUUCCUUAUGAUGAUGUCGGGUAUAAGUUGCUUCAUCAUUAAGUGGGUCUGCUUAUAGUGAUGCAUUUUUGUGCGGGAAUCUCUCGGAGAACAAUAGCAGACAAACCAUUGCACUUCCUGAUUUUACGUGAAGGUUGUAUGAACGUCACCUGGCGACCAGUAUAGCGUGUCGUACUAAGCCAUAAGAGCGCUCCUGGCGGUCUGAGAGUUCAAUAACUCUUCUAACUCACCGUAUCGUCGGAAGCUGCUGUCAUAUUACGACCAGCAUCACGUCCGGCUAGUUCCAAUUCGGGCGCUCGACGGUGUCGACGUCGAGUGGAUUAAAGUGGCCAAUACGAAAGCCUGCAUCAGUUUCACCACCGGCAUCCUACUCCAAGGACACGGCACCCAAGCGGCCGUGGAUCUCGGCAGGCAUCUGGCCUAAAUAAUCUCCUCGAAUGUAAUCGUCGACCGUCGCCACACAAAGCUCCAAAUUAAGAAUCUUUAGGACUUCAUCCAAUUUCCAGCGCUCGUUGGGAUUUUUUUUCGUCAUUCCAUCAAUUACGGCGAAUGCGUAAUGAUUCGGUGACAACUUUCCAUUGUCGAGAACCUUUAUAUCUGAUUGGAUGUUGGAGAUAGUUCCAAACUCGUCGGGCGAUCCUCCAUUUUUGGCAAACGGAUGGCAGCCUUCUGUGAGGUAACUGAAAUAGAGGCAGCCCAGCGAGAAGAUGUCGAUCGUCACGUUAGCUCUGAUUUUUUCUUUAUCUUCUUUGCUUUUCCCCUCGGAUUCGAUGAAUUCAGGCGAGUAAUAGAUGCGGGUGCCUUUUGGACCACUAGUCAUCGAGAAACUGCCGGAACUUGUCACGGGCCGACAGACUCCGAAAUCGGAAAUUUUCAGAACAAUCGAUUGAGAAAUCAACACGUUGGCCGGCUUGAUGUCUCGAUGGACCAAACAUUGGGAGUGGAUGUAAGCCAAUCCGCUGGCCAUUUGAAUCAACGCAUCAAUCUCGGUGGGCAUCUCCCCUUUGUAGUUUCCUUUUAUGUAAUCGUUGACUGUUGCAAUACAUAAUUCCAGUAUCAGAUACCUAUUAA